rnacentral:rRNA from 1 species
UACGAAGGGGGCUAGCGUUGCUCGGAAUCACUGGGCGUAAAGGGUGCGUAGGCGGGUCUUUUAAGUCAGGGGUGAAAUCCUGGAGCUCAACUCCAGAACUGCCUUUGAUACUGGCGACCUUGAGUCCGGGAGAGGUGAGUGGAACUGCGAGUGUAGAGGUGAAAUUCGUAGAUAUUCGCAAGAACACCAGUGGCGAAGGCGGCUCACUGGCCCGGUACUGACGCUGAGGUGCGAAAGCGUGGGGAGCAAACAGGG